rnacentral:rRNA from 1 species
UAAGGAAUAUUGCGCAAUGGGCGAAAGCCUGACGACGCAACGCCGCGUGGAGGAUGAAGGUCUUCGGAUCGUAAACUUCUGUUGCCCGGGACGAAUAGCUUAGACCUAAUACGUCUGAGUAUGACGGUACCGGGUGAGGAAGCCCCGGCUAACUCUGUGCCAGCAGCCGCGGUAAUACAGAGGGGGCAAGCGUUGUUCGGAAUUACUGGGCGUAAAGGGCGCGUAGGCGGCCUGCUAAGUCGAACGUGAAAUCCCCGGGCUCAACCCGGGAACUGCGUCCGAUACUGGCAGGCUUGAAUUCGGGAGAGGGAUGCGGAAUUCCAGGUGUAGCGGUGAAAUGCGUAGAUAUCGGAAGGAACAUCGGUGGCGAAGGCGUCUACCUGGCCUAAUACUGACACUGAGGCACGAAAGCGUGGGGAGCAAACAGGAUUAGAUACCCCGGUAGUCCCUGAGCGGGCUGGCAAGGCGCAU